ACCGGGAGAAGACUAACUAGGAUUCCCUUAGUAACGGCGAGUGAAGAGGGAAGAGCCCAGCACCGAAGCCUGCGGCAGUUUUGCUGUUAGGCAAUGUGGUGUGUGGGUCGGCUAGCGGGACCGUCGCUCCACUCGAAGUCCAGCAAUGAGUAUGGUUAUUACUGGAAUUGGCCCAUAGAGGGUGAGAGGCCCGUACGGGUGGAGUCGCAGACAUGUGAGACGGUUCACCAGGUCGACCUCAGAGUCGGGUUGUUUGAGAUUGCAGCCCUAAGUGGGUGGUAAACUCCAUCCAAGGCUAAAUACUAACACGAGUCCGAUAGCGAACAAGUACCGUGAGGGAAAGUUGAAAAGUACUCUGAAGAGAGAGUAAACAGUACGUGAAGCCGCAUGCAGGUAAACGGGUGGCGUCAAGCUGCGAGCCCGGAGAAUUCAGCUGGCCAGAUUGUAGUGUACGCGCCUGUGGCGUUAAAGGGCCAGAGUAAGAUGUAGUGAUCUACUUCUCUUAUGGAGGUGGGACUAUAGCUGUAGCCUCGGUUGCAGUUAUGGUUACGUGUGCCGAUCGGAUGUCGGAGCGUGUCACUCAUCUGUUGCGCCGUCUGGUCAGUGCACUUUCUCUGUGGUGAACACCACGACCGGUGGUAUUGCCCGUCUACUAUGGUCACGUCGUGUCUUUUCUGAUAACCUUGCUUUCUUACGGUGGGGCUGGUAAUGCGCCGCUCUUCAGAUACCCUCGGGCGGACCCUGGAUUAAAAAUGGAAAAAAAGGGGUUAUCCCAUUCAAUGCCAAGGUGGACAAAAAUCCCCCCUUGGUUUCAGGGGGAUUUCCAUCACCCUUAACCUAAGUUCCCCCCUUGGAAACCAAGGGGCCAAUUUUUUCCUCUUUGGGGGUGCGCCCACUUUC
rnacentral:rRNA from 1 species